UACGGAGGGCGCAAGCGUUGUUCGGAAUUACUGGGCGUAAAGCGCGUGUAGGCGGUCUGGUAAGUCGGUUGUGAAAUCCCCGGGCUCAACCCGGGAACUGCGACCGAAACUGCUGGACUAGAGUUCCGGAGAGGAAGGCAGAAUUCCCAAUGUAGGGGUGAAAUCCGUAGAUAUUGGGAGGAAUACCAGUGGCGAAGGCGGCCUUCUGGACGGUGACUGACGCUGAGAAGCGAAAGCGUGGGGAGCAAACAGG
rnacentral:rRNA from 1 species